rnacentral:rRNA from 1 species
AACGAACGCUGGCGGCAGGCUUAACACAUGCAAGUCGAACGAGAUCUUCGGAUCUAGUGGCAGACGGGUGAGGAACACGUGGGAACAUCCCUUUCAGUUCGGAAUAACGUUGGGAAACUAACGCUAAUACCGGAUACGUCCUUCGGGAGAAAGAUUUAUCGCUGAAAGAUUGGCCCGCGUCUGAUUAGCUAGUUGGUGAGGUAAUGGCUCACCAAGGCUACGAUCAGUAGCUGAUCUGAGAGGAUGAUCAGCCACAUUGGGACUGAGACACGGCCCAAACUCCUACGGGAGGCAGCAGUGGGGAAUAUUGGACAAUGGGUGCAAGCCUGAUCCAGCCAUGCCGCGUGAGUGAUGAAGGCCUUCGGGUUGUAAAGCUCUUUUAUCCGGGAAGAUAAUGACUGUACCGGAAGAAUAAGCCCCGGCAAACUUCGUGCCAGCAGCCGCCGCUG